GUGCUGGUCACUCCUGCAUCCAGUUGUAACCUGUCUCGUCAUUUCUCAUCACUGCCACAUCCUGGCUCUUUCUCACAAGCAGGGGAGGCUGCUCUCCUGACUGGAACCUCAUGAGAAACGACUAUAACUGGUGACUGCGGAGAACUGGUCGACGUUACUGCUUUCCUGGGAAAGUCCCUAAAACACUUCUGUGUGACUCUUCACUGAAGGGUGUGCAGACCAUCCUCCAUCCAGGACAGGAGACCAAGGACAGGGCGAACUUUCCUGGAGUCUGUCUCUUCUAAGCCGUCCACUUGGAGGCUGGUAAUUGCUUGUCGGUCGGUUGGCUAAGUGCAGUGAUCUUCACUACUCCCCUCGAGUUCUGGGGGCCACGGAGCUCUGCUUCCCUCCUGGGGACACAGGAGGGCUUUCCAGGGUUUCACACCCACCCUCCCUGCACCCCACAAGGUAA